rnacentral:rRNA from 1 species
GUGUCAGCAGCCGCGGUAAUACGGAGGGCGCUAGCGUUGUUCGGAAUCACUGGGCGUAAAGCGCGUGUAGGCGGCUUCGUAAGUCGGAUGUGAAAUCCCGAGGCUCAACCUCGGAGGGUCAUCCGAAACUGCGGAGCUAGAGUCCCGGAGAGGGUGGUGGAAUUCCCGGUGUAGGGGUGAAAUCCGUAGAUAUCGGGAGGAACACCAGUGGCGAAGGCGACCACCUGGACGGUGACUGACGCUGAGACGCGAAAGCGUGGGGAGCAAACAGGAUUAGAUACCCUGGUAGUCCACGCCGUAAACGGUGGGUGCUAGGCGUCGGGGGUAUUGACCCCUCCGGUGCCGCAGCUAACGCGUUAAGCACCCCGCCUGGGGAGUACGGCCGCAAGGCUAAAACUUAAAUGAAUUGGCGGGG